rnacentral:rRNA from 1 species
UGGGGAAUAUUGGACAAUGGGCGAAAGCCUGAUCCAGCAAUACCGCGUGUGUGAUGAAGGCCUUUGGGUUGUAAAGCACUUUCAAUUGUGAAGAUGGCUUAGGUGUUAAUAGCACACUAAGCUGACGUUAACUUUAAAAGAAGCACCGGCUAACUCUGUGCCAGCAGCCGCGGUAAGACAGAGGGUGCGAGCGUUAAUCGGAAUUACUGGGCGUAAAGAGCACGUAGGUGGAUUUUUAAGUCAGAUGUGAAAGCCCCGGGCCUAACCUGGGAACUGCAUUUGAUACUGGAAGUCUAGAGUAUGGUAGAGGGAAGUGGAAUUUCCGGUGUAGCGGUGAAAUGCAUAGAUAUCGGAAGGAACACCAGUGGCGAAGGCGGCUUCCUGGACUAAUACUGACACUGAGGUGCGAAAGCGUGGGUAGCAAACAGG